UUUGAAUUGGGAAUUGAAAAGUUGGUGAAACUUUUCCAAGUCAAAUUGAAGCUGUUCGUUUUCAUUGUUUUGAUCGUUUGACGAAUUUAUUUUAACGUCCAACGAAACAACUUUUCCGACGAAAUUUUGUGGCAGAAAAAUUUCUGCUUUGAUUUCAAAAAGCAAUGAGUUUUCUUCUUCGAUGACACCCAGCGAUUUUUUCAGCUGAGAAUUUUC
rnacentral:rRNA from 12 species